UACGUAGGGUGCAAGCGUUGUCCGGAAUUAUUGGGCGUAAAGGGCUCGUAGGCGGUUUGUCGCGUCGGGAGUGAAAAUCCAGGGCUUAACUCUGGACUGGCUUCCGAUACGGGCAGACUAGAGGUAUGCAGGGGAGAACGGAAUUCCUGGUGUAGCGGUGAAAUGCGCAGAUAUCAGGAGGAACACCGGUGGCGAAGGCGGUUCUCUGGGCAUUACCUGACGCUGAGGAGCGAAAGCGUGGGGAGCGAACAGG
rnacentral:rRNA from 1 species